rnacentral:rRNA from 1 species
AUUGAACGCUGGCGGCAUGCCUUACACAUGCAAGUCGAACGGUAACAGGUCUUCGGAUGCUGACGAGUGGCGAACGGGUGAGUAAUACAUCGGAACGUGCCUAGUAGUGGGGGAUAACUACUCGAAAGAGUGGCUGAUACCGCAUGAGAUCUACGGAUGAAAGCAGGGGAUCGCAAGACCUUGUGCUACUAGAGCGGCCGAUGGCAGAUUAGGUAGUUGGUGGGAUAAAAGCUUACCAAGCCGACGAUCUGUAGCUGGUCUGAGAGGACGAUCAGCCACACUGGGACUGAGACACGGCCCAGACUCCUACGGGAGGCAGCAGUGGGGAAUUUUGGACAAUGGGCGCAAGCCUGAUCCAGCAACGCCGCGUGCAGGAUGAAGGCCUUCGGGUUGUAAACUGCUUUUGUACGGAACGAAAAGCCCUGGGUUAAUACCCUGGGGUCAUGACGGUACCGUAAGAAUAAGCACCGGCUAACUACGUGCCAGCCGCCGCCGUAAAAC